CUUUGACUUUACUGAGGUUACUGUGCAUUGAAUUGUGGUCUACAAACUAGGUGUCAACAAGGCUGUUAGUCCCCAGGCUUAAGCUUUACUUUAAGUUUUUGUCCCAAGUUUUUGACAAUCUCUUCAGGAAACUAAAUGUACUUUGCCUAGAUUAAUAAUCUUAGAGGACUUUUGAACUCUGAACUAAUAUACCGGAACUACAAUGUUUUUUUCAUUUGCAGACAUUUAUUUAAAG
rnacentral:lncRNA from 1 species